GCCCCCGUAGCUCAGUGGAUAGAGCACCUGGCUACGAACCAGAAGGUCGCCCGUUCGAAUCGGGCCGGGGGCU
rnacentral:tRNA from 1 species